rnacentral:rRNA from 1 species
GACGAACGCUGGCGGCGUGCUUAACACAUGCAAGUCGAACGGAAAGGCCCUGCUUUUGUGGGGUGCUCGAGUGGCGAACGGGUGUGUAACACGUGAGUAACCUGCCCUUGACUUUGGGAUAACUUCAGGAAACUGGGGCUAAUACCGGAUAGGAGCUCCUGCUGCAUGGUGGGGGUUGGAAAGUUUCGGCGGUUGGGUAUGGACUCGCGGCUUAUCAGCUUGUUGGUGGGGUAGUGGCUUACCAAGGCUUUGACGGGUAGCCGGCCUGAGAGGGUGACCGGCCACAUUGGGACUGAGAUACGGCCCAGACUGCUACUGGAGGCAGCAGUGGGGAAGAGGUCACAAUGGGCGGAAGCCUGAUGCAGCAACGCGGCGUGCGGGAUGAUGGCCUUCGGGUUGUAAACCGCUGUCGCCUGUGACGAAGCGUGAGUGACGGGAAUGGGUAAAAAAGCACCGGCUAAGUACGUG